GAUGAACGCUGGCGGCGUGCUUAACACAUGCAAGUCGAACGGUGAAGCCCAGCUUGCUGGGUGGAUCAGUGGCGAACGGGUGAGUAACACGUGAGCAACCUGCCCCUGACUCUGGGAUAAGCGCUGGAAACGGUGUCUAAUACUGGAUAUGUGAUGUGACCGCAUGGUCUGCGUCUGGAAAGAACUUCGGUCAGGGAUGAGCUCGCGGCCUAUCAGCUUGUUGGUGAGGUAAUGGCUCACCAAGGCGUCGACGGGUAGCCGGCCUGAGAGGGUGACCGGCCACACUGGGACUGAGACACGGCCCAGACUCCUACGGGAGGCAGCAGUGGGGAAUAUUGCACAAUGGGCGAAAGCCUGAUGCAGCAACGCCGCGUGAGGGACGACGGCCUUCGGGUUGUAAACCUCUUUUAGCAAGGAAGAAGCGAAAGUGACGGUACUUGCAGAAAAAGCGCCGGCUAACUACGUGCCAGCAGCCGCGGUAAAAC
rnacentral:rRNA from 1 species